CCUUGGCAACCAUUUAGGUGUUACUAGUACAAAAAAUUACAUAAAAAAUGGGCAAUAACUACUAAAAACUACUAUCAAAUUUUGUUAUAAGAAGAAAAACAAGUUUCAUCCUGAACCUCUCUCACUUUCUACAAUAGCAGUAACACCAUAUUUGGUGAAACACGACUAUUGCAAUGAUAUACCCUGGGAUUAAGAUUAAGCCUUUAAAAUAGAGAGUCUGCCUAUUUUAGAUUA
rnacentral:lncRNA from 1 species